AUUUAUCGGAGAGUUUGAUCCUGGCUCAGGACGAACGCUGGCGGCGUGCCUAAUACAUGCAAGUCGAGCGGACAGAUGGGAGCUUGCUCCCUGAUGUUAGCGGCGGACGGGUGAGUAACACGUGGGUAACCUGCCUGUAAGACUGGGAUAACUCCGGGAAACCGGGGCUAAUACCGGAUGCUUAUUUGAACCGCAUGGUUCAAAUAUAAAAGGUGGCUUCGGCUACCGCUUACAGAUGGACCCGCGGCGCAUUAGCUAGUUGGUGAGGUAACGGCUCACCAAGGCAACGAUGCGUAGCCGACCU
rnacentral:rRNA from 1 species